rnacentral:tRNA from 1 species
GCCAACGUAGCUCAGCCGGUAGAGCAGCUGAUUCGUAAUCAGCAGGUCGUGCGUUCAAGUCGCAUCGUUGGCUCCA